CAGUGUGCUGCAGUGAGCUGAUGCAGUGUGUUGCAGUGAGCUGAUGCAGUGAGCUACAGGUGAGCUGAUGCAGUAAGAUGCAGGUGAGAUGGCAGCCAGUGCAGUGUGUUGCAGUGAGCUGCAGGUGAGCUGAUGCAGUGAGCUGCAGGUGAGAUGGCAGUGAGUUGAUGCAGUGAGCUGCAGGUGAGCUGAUGCAGUGAGAUUGCAGUGAGCUGCAGGUGAGCUGAUGCAGUGAGCUGCAGGUGAGCUGAUGCAGUGAGCUGAUGCAGUGAGCCGUUGCAGUGAGCUGUGCCCGAGGGCAAUGACUGGAUGCUUAGGGAGGAGGCAGCUGAGCUGGGGGCUGGGCUAGUAGGUAAAAAGAGACUAACUUCCUAAAUUUAAAACGACCAGAGGGACAAGGGACCCUGGGCUCCAGGACAUUGUAAGGUAAGCCCUGGGCUGACUCAGGUGCCACUAAAUGUGUAGGUAAACUCCCAGGAGCUUUCUUAAAUGCCUCUACAGCACUGCUCUCCUCUGAGACAGCAACCCACAAAAUCCCAAGCUUCUAGAAAAGAGGGGAAUUCUGUAGUGUGGGUCUCCAGAGCUGGGGUAUAGGUAGGAGCAAAGGUCUGGUCGUGAAGAGGAUGUGAGUCCUGUGGCCAUGGGAGUGAAAGUGUUGAGCUUUGCGUUCCGAGACCCACUUGCUCUGUGGAGCACACGAUCCCCCUGGCAGCAGCUGUGGAAGUGGGUAUUGCUCAUCCUUUCUGCACUUUAGAUGAGUUCUGUUACAUGCGAGGGACUAGGUGUUUAGCCAGGAGGCUGCUGUUGGAACCUCAGAGCCUGGGCAUCUGGAGUCGGGUGGGAUCUUAAAACCAGCACUAAUGUUGAGUGCGUUCCC